rnacentral:rRNA from 1 species
AUACGGAGGAUCCGAGCGUUAUCCGGAUUUAUUGGGUUUAAAGGGUGCGUAGGCGGACUAAUAAGUCAGCGGUGAAAGUUUGCGGCUCAACCGUAAAAUUGCCGUUGAUACUGUUGGUCUUGAGUGUAGAUGAGGUGGGUGGAAUUCGUAGUGUAGCGGUGAAAUGCUUAGAUAUCACGCAGAACUCCGAUUGCGAAGGCAGCUUACUAAGCUACAACUGACACUGAAGCACGAAAGCGUGGGGAUC